AAAAAAUUGGAUGCAGACAAAACAAGAAGCUCCCAACUCUUCAAGAAAAUAAAACAGAACAAAAUAAAAUGGAUUUGAUAUUAAAGGAUUGGUUUAGUCUUUCAUAGAGUUCAAGAAUCAAGUUCUCUCCCUUGAGAAACAGAGGAAGACAAAGUUGGAGAUGGUGAAGGGAAGUAGCUGCGACUGCAACUGGUACAUUUUGAGAAUUCAUCCACGCUCAAAUCAUCAUACUUCUCAUCAACAAAGCAGUUUUCAGCAUUCAACCAAAUAAGCUAACCAAAGCAACACAAACUGGAUUUGGGAAUGCAUUUUUUGAGUAAAUUAUUGGGUAAAACUUCAAUUAGCUCCUUAUCUGCUUCCUUUAUGAAAAUUCAAUUUGGGGCAUUUUGGCAGAAGCUUCUAAAUUUCCAGAAUUAAAUUAAUUCAGAGUAGGUGAGCUUUUUGUUUAAGGAAGGACAGCUUAGCGGUGCUGGAGGGUUUACCUUGAGGAGUGCAGGAGCAGCUUCGCGGCGCGGCGGCGGCGUGCGGCGGAGAGCGUAGGAACUCCCGGCGCGGCGGCGUGCGGCGGAGAGGGCAGGAACUCCCGGAGCGGCGGAGAGCAGCGAAUUCCGGAGAGCGCGACAACAAUCAGCAGCGAGGCGACACCAAUCGGCGGCGGAGGAAUUGAGGUGUGCGUGAAGCGGCUGCGACGCUGCGUGCAGAUCCAAUUUUCAAAUUCAGACGAGAAUUGAGAUUUGAGAGUUUGAGACCAUGGGCUUUUUUGGUCUUUUUUGGGCUUGUUUAAGUUUGGUAAUGAAUAUUAUUGGGUCUAUGGGUCUGAUAAGACCCAUGGGUAAUUAACCUACCCAAAACCAUUUUAUUUAUCACUUAAUGGUCCGGUCCGGUGUGGAUCUAAUAAGCAAUGGAUCGGUUCUGAUUCCGGAAUCGUAAUAAUUUUAAUGGUUCUGGUCCGG
rnacentral:lncRNA from 1 species